rnacentral:lncRNA from 1 species
GAAAAACUUGCAUUGCUUUUUAUAGAAAGACUGAACUUUUCUUUCCUUUUCUUUUUAUCAUGAAAACCAUGCAAGAAGAGAGGACUGCUUCUUGUAGCAACUACUUUAGAAGCCAUUAACUUCACUGCAAUUUCACUUUUGUAGUUUAAAUUAUAUGAAAAAAGGUUAACAUCAACUGAUUUUACUAAUUGUUUUCCAUUAGGAGGGCAACUCAGCCAGAAUAGGAGCCUGAUCCUCUUAGCUACUAAUCCUGUUGCUACAACCACUAGCUCAGCUGAUGCUUUUCCUGAGAUGAGUGGCUCUUAAUUGAACACAGGAAUUAAGAUGUGAGCAUAAUGGUAAUUUUUGUUUUAUUCUCUAUUUCUUUUCUUUCCUAAUAAUUCCUAACAUUCUUGUUGCUU